rnacentral:rRNA from 1 species
UGGCGGCAUGCUUUACACAUGCAAGUCGAACGGCAGCACGGGGGCAACCCUGGUGGCGAGUGGCGAACGGGUGAGUAAUACAUCGGAACGUGCCCGGNANUGGGGGAUAGCNNGGCGAAAGCCGGAUUAAUACCGCAUACGACCUACGGGUGAAAGCGGGGGACCGCAAGGCCUCGCGCUAUCGGAGCGGCCGAUGUCGGAUUAGCUUGUUGGUGGGGUAAAGGCCUACCAAGGCUACGAUCCGUAGCUGGUCUGAGAGGACGACCAGCCACACUGGGACUGAGACACGGCCCAGACUCCUACGGGAGGCAGCAGUGGGGAAUUUUGGACAAUGGGCGCAAGCCUGAUCCAGCCAUGCCGNGUGCGGGAAGAAGGCCCUCGGGUUGUAAACCGCUUUUGUCAGGGAAGAAACGCUUCGGGCUAAUACCUCGAAGUAAUGACGGUACCUGAAGAAUAAGCACCGGCUAACUACGUGCCAGCAGCCGCGGUAAUACGUAGGGUGCGAGCGUUAAUCGGAAUUACUGGGCGUAAAGCGUGCGCAGGCGGUUGUGCAAGACAGAUGUGAAAUCCCCGGGCUUAACCUGGGAACUGCAUUUGUGACUGUGCGACUGGAGUGCGGCAGANGGGGAUGGAAUUCCGCGUGUAGCAGUGAAAUG